rnacentral:rRNA from 1 species
GAUCCUGGCUCAGGAUGAACGCUAGCGACAGGCUUAACACAUGCAAGUCGAGGGGCAGCACAGGUAGCAAUACCGGGUGGCGACCGGCGCACGGGUGAGUAACGCGUAUGCAACUUGCCUAUCAGAGGGGGAUAACCCGGCGAAAGUCGGACUAAUACCGCAUGAAGCAGGGGCCCCGCAUGGGGAUAUUUGCUAAAGAUUCAUCGCUAUAGAUAGGCGAUGCGGUUCCUACUUAAGG